ensembl:lncRNA
CACCAGUGCGUGCCUCCGACUCCCGCUGGGCUCUGCCCGCCGCCUGUGGGGCCUUUCCGGGCAACGCGCGGCCCCCAGCACGACCCGCCUGCCCGCAGGCCCCGCCGUUCUUCCAGCAGCGCGAACUCCUGCCUGCCCCCGGCUCUGGCUUUACUCACCGAUCCUUUCCAUGCUGUGGCCGCAUUCCCCAGACCCUAUCGGUUCCCAGUGCUGCAUACUUCAAGUGUAGGUGGGGUUUGGUGGCAGCCGCCCCUCCCUCCCCCAGCCAGCCGGUAGCGCUCACGGAGCUCCCCUCCGUGCCCCCAGGCUCCAGGCGUCCCCUGGCUGGCCAGCCACCACAAGUGAUUCCUGGCCGCCUUUCACCUGAACGCCACCAUCUUGACACUGCUAGUAAGAGCCCCAGAGCAAUGAACAUAUGGCAGUUGCUACCAGCACUGGUGUAUUUGCGGCGAUGCCUAUCGAUAUCCACCAGAGAGCAGGGCAGCUCCAAAACCCACAUCUUUUAUGCUGUGGAAAUUGAUGGAUACAGCAACACAGCCAGCUUCUUGGCCAAACAACAUGGAAUGCAGUUCAUUUCAAAGGUGAAAUGGGUGAAUAUCAGACAGCUCAUUAUAGAGACAAGCAUACUGCAUUCCCAAAGUAGGAUGACAGAACAAGUCAUGAUCUUGUACAGAAGGAAAAUGAGAUGCCUGGUGAAGCCUACAAUGUCAUUGACUCUGAAGAAGGACUCAGAGACCUAUUGGUGUUUAAUGACCCUUAUUGGCCUCCACAAAAGAAACUGGUGA